rnacentral:lncRNA from 1 species
AGACUGACUCAAAAACACCUAUGUCAAAGGAGGGGUAGGGAGACUGAACCAAGGAGAUAGGAGAUGAAGAUUCCUCCAUGAACCAUUAGGCCACAGAGAUGGGUCCAUGACAAAAUUUGCGUCAACACUUCUCAAUCCUAGGGGUUUUCUUUUGAGUUCUCAUGAGAGUAGACUCCCUGUGUAUCACUGACCAUGAAGCUGAACACAUGCAGUCCCAGGAGCUGCUGGCAGCCACGUGCCCACCAACAAUCAAGAGCUAAGAAUUGGGCAACAUCAUGGAAGGAAGACUGUGGGGAAAAAGAAACUGAGUCCCUGCUGAGGCUUGUUGCUUACCUGAGGCCAACCAUGCCCUUGAACUCUUCUCUUUUGUGAAGCGAUACAUUCUCUUUACUUUUAAAAAUUCAUUUUAUUGAAUCUUCUCUUCCUUGCAACCUGUAAAUAUAUUCAU